GACGAACGCUGGCGGCGCGCUUAACACAUGCAAGUCGAACGGAAAGGCCUGCUUUCCCUUGUGGAUUGCGGGUACUCGAGUGGCGAACGGGUGAGUAACACGUGAGUGAUCUGCCCCCAACUUGGGUAUAAGCCUGGGAUACUGAGUCUAAUUCCCGAUAGUACUGCAGGGUGGUGCCCUUGGUGGGAGACGAUCUUCUAGUGGUCGAGGAUGAGCUGUCGGCCUAUCAGCUUGCUGGGGAGGUAAUCGCGUACGAAGGAGGGGACGGGGAGGCGGCGGGAGAGGGUGGACGGUGACAGUGGGACUGGGCUACGGCGCAGACUGCUACGGCAGGCAGCAGUGGGGAAGAUUGCAGAAUGGGCGGAAGGCUGAUGCAGCGACGGCGUGUGGGGGAUGACGGGCUUCGGGUUGUAAACUCCUUUCGACGGAGAGGAAGCCACCUGGUUGGAAGGGUGGUGACGGUAGUGGUAGAAGAAGCACCGGCUAACUACGUG
rnacentral:rRNA from 1 species